rnacentral:rRNA from 1 species
GGGCGUUAAGUUGCAGGGUAUAGACCCGAAACCCGGUGAUCUAGCCAUGGGCAGGUUGAAGGUUGGGUAACACUAACUGGAGGACCGAACCGACUAAUGUUGAAAAAUUAGCGGAUGACCUGUGGCUGGGGGUGAAAGGCCAAUCAAACCGGGAGAUAGCUGGUUCUCCCCGAAAGCUAUUUAGGUAGCGCCUCGUGAACUCAUCUUCGGGGGUAGAGCACUGUUUCGGCUAGGGGGCCAUCCCGGCUUACCAACCCGAUGCAAACUACGAAUACCGAAGAAUGUUAUCACGGGAGACACACGGCGGGUGCUAACGUCCGUCGUGAAGAGGGAAACAACCCAGACCGCCAGCUAAGGUCCCAAAGUCAUGGUUAAGUGGGAAACGAUGUGGGAAGGCCCAGACAGCCAGGAUGUUGGCUUAGAAGCAGCCAUCAUUUAAAGAAAGCGUAAUAGCUCACUGGUCGAGUCGGCCUGCGCGGAAGAUGUAACGGGGCUAAACCAUG